rnacentral:rRNA from 1 species
UGGGGAAUAUUGCACAAUGGGCGCAAGCCUGAUGCAGCCAUGCCGCGUGUAUGAAGAAGGCCUUCGGGUUGUAAAGUACUUUCAGUCGGGAGGAAGGUGGUAAGGUUAAUAACCUUGGCAAUUGACGUUACCGACAGAAGAAGCACCGGCUAACUCCGUGCCAGCAGCCGCGGUAAUACGGAGGGUGCAAGCGUUAAUCGGAAUUACUGGGCGUAAAGCGCACGCAGGCGGUUGAUUGAGUCAGAUGUGAAAUCCCCGGGCUUAACCCGGGAAUUGCAUCUGAGACUGGUCAGCUAGAGUCUUGUAGAGGGGGGUAGAAUUCCAUGUGUAGCGGUGAAAUGCGUAGAGAUGUGGAGGAAUACCGGUGGCGAAGGCGGCCCCCUGGACAAAGACUGACGCUCAGGUGCGAAAGCGUGGGGAGCAAACAGG